GUGCUUAACACAUGCAAGUCGAGCGGUAAGGCCUUUCGGGGUACACGAGCGGCGAACGGGUGAGUAACACGUGGGUGAUCUGCCCUGCACUUCGGGAUAAGCCUGGGAAACUGGGUCUAAUACCGGAUAUGACCUCCUAUCGCAUGGUGGGUGGUGGAAAGAUUUAUCGGUGCAGGAUGGGCCCGCGGCCUAUCAGCUUGUUGGUGGGGUAAUGGCCUACCAAGGCGACGACGGGUAGCCGACCUGAGAGGGUGACCGGCCACACUGGGACUGAGACACGGCCCAGACUCCUACGGGAGGCAGCAGUGGGGAAUAUUGCACAAUGGGCGAAAGCCUGAUGCAGCGACGCCGCGUGAGGGAUGACGGCCUUCGGGUUGUAAACCUCUUUCAGCAGGGACGAAGCGCAAGUGACGGUACCUGCAGAAGAAGCACCGGCUAACUACGUGCCAGCAGCCGCGGUAAUACGUAGGGUGCAAGCGUUGUCCGGAAUUACUGGGCGUAAAGAGUUCGUAGGCGGUUUGUCGCGUCGUUUGUGAAAACCAGCAGCUCAACUGC
rnacentral:rRNA from 1 species